rnacentral:rRNA from 1 species
AUUGAACGCUGGCGGCAGGCCUAACACAUGCAAGUCGAGCGCGCGGCGGACGGGUGAGGAAUGUAUGGGGAUCUGCCCGUUAGAGGGGGCUAACUACAGGAAACGGUAGCUAAUACCGCAUACUAUCGGAUGUACGCCUGUGUGAUUAGCUAGUAGGUGGGGUAAUGGCUCACCUAGGCGACGAUCCCUAGCUGGUCUGAGAGGAUGAUCAGCCACACUGGGACUGAGACACGGCCCAGACUCCUACGGGAGGCAGCAGUGGGGAAUAUUGGACAAUGGGCGCAACCCUGAUCCAGCCAUCCCGCGUGUAUGAUGAAGGCCUUCGGGUUGUAAAGUACUUUUGGCAGAGAGGCGGUAUCUGCAGAAUAAGCACCGGCUAACUACGUGCCAGCAGCCGCGGUAAUUC